UGAGUACGAGAUGCUACGGCAUCGAAGCAGUCUAUGUCAUACUUCCAAGAAAAGCUUGCACUGUCAUAAACAAAGAAUGCCUGUACCAUAACCGACACAGGUGGGUAGGUAGAGUAUACUAAGGGGCGCGAGAUAACUCUCUCUAAGGAACUCGGCAAAAUGACUCCGUAACUUCGGGAGAAGGAGUGCCUUAUUUCUAAGGUUGCAAUAACAAGAUCCAAGCAACUGUUUACCAAAAACACAGGUCUCCGCUAAGUCGUAAGACGAUGUAUGGGGGCUGACGCCUGCCCAGUGCCAGAAGGUUAAAGAAGUUGGUUAGCAUUAGCGAAGCUGAUAACUGAAGCCCUGGUGAACGGCGGCCGUAACAAUAACGGUCCUAAGGUAGCGAAAUUCCUUGUCGGGUAAGUUCCGACCCGCACGAAAGGCGUAAUGAUUUGGAUACUGUCUCGGAGAGGGGCUCGGUGAAAUAGACUUGUCUGUGAAGAUGCGGACUACCUGCACCUGGACAGAAAGACCCUAUGAAGCUUUACUGUAACUUGAGAUUGAAACUGGACUUUAUUUGCGCAGUAUAGGUGGGAGGCGUUGAGAAUAAUCUUGCGGGAUUGUUGGAGCCAUCAGUGAGAUACCACUCUUGUAAUGUUAGAUUUCUAACUUUGUAUCAUUAUCUGGUCAAAGAACAGUUUCAGGCGGGCAGUUUGACUGGGGCGGUCGCCUCCCAAAGGGUAACGGAGGCGCACAAAGGUUUCCUCUGAACGGGUAGAAAUCGUAUCUAGAGUGUAAAGGCAUAAGGAAGCUUGACUGUGAGACCUACAAGUCGAGCAGGGACGAAAGUCGGUCUUAGUGAUCUGACGGUGCUGAGUGGAAAGGCCGUCACUCAACGGAUAAAAGUUACUCUAGGAUAACAGGCUGAUCUCCCCCAAGAGUUCACAUCGACGGGGAGGUUUGGCACCUCGAUGUCGGCUCAUCGCAUCCUGGGGCGGUAGUCCGUCCCAAGGGUUGGGCUGUUCGCCCAUGAAAGCGGUACGCGAGCUGGGUUCAGAACGUCGUGAGACAGUUCGGUCCAUAUCCGGUGUAGGCGUUAGAAUAUUGAGAGGAGCCUUCUCUAGUACGAGAGGACCGAGAAGGACAUACCUCUGGUGUACCAGUUAUCGUGCCAACGGUAAACGCUGGGUAGCUAUGUAUGGAGUGGAUAACCGCUGAAAGCAUCUAAGUGGGAAGCCCACCUCAAGAUAAGUAUUCUCA
rnacentral:rRNA from 1 species